UCAGGUCAGAGGACCUGAAUAGACUGCGGACAGCACCAGGAUGAACCAAUAGAUGAGAGACAGCCCCAAAGGUCAAAUGGAGACGAGGGAACAGGACCAUGACAAGGACGGAGAUGAGAAAAGUCGCUGCACAGAAAAAAUAGUUCAUUUGCCUGACUUGCCAAAGAAUGAGAAUACAAAUGAGCAGCAGUCCAAAGAUGAAGAGACCGAGCUGAUUAAGUGGAAGUCCAAACAAGUUGCAGAAGAAGAAGCAGUUGAGGAAAUGAGUUGAAGGAGUUCAGCAUGUAGAAAAGCAGUUGACAGAGGACUUGGACUCUCCACUUAAAAGAGGCUGGAGGCCAAUUGGCAGAGAAGACUUGAGGGAGAUUUUCACAAUGAGUCCUUAAAUACAAAGUCUUUGAAAUGAG